rnacentral:sRNA from 1 species
GGCAGGUGCAGCUGCCACAGCGAGACGGGCACCCUGACCCGGGCAUGGAGGGGGGCAAGGGGCCCAGGCUCAGAGACUUCCUGAGUGGGAGUCUGGCUACCUGGGCGCUGGGACUGGCCGGGCUGGUCGGGGAGGCGGAGGACUCGGAGGGGGAAGAAGAGGAAGAGGAGGAAGAGCCGCCCCUUUGGUUGGAGAAGAGAUUCCUGCGCCUCAGCGAUGGGGCCCUGCUCCUCCGGGUGCUGGGCAUCAUUGCCCCCAGCUCCCGAGGGGGACCUCGGAUGCUCAGAGGCCUUGACGGACCUGCUGCCUGGCGAGUGUGGAACCUGAACCGCUUGUGGGGCCGACUGAGGGACUUCUACCAGGAGGAGCUGCAGCUGCUGAUCCUGUCGCCACCCCCAGACCUCCAGACAUUGGGAUUUGACCCUCUCUCAGAAGAAGCGGUGGAGCAGCUGGAAGGCGUUCUUCGGCUACUGUUGGGAGCGUCAGUACAGUGUGAGCACCGGGAACUCUUCAUCCGCCACAUCCAGGGCCUCAGUCUCGAGGUCCAGAGCGAGCUGGCCGCUGCCAUCCAGGAGGUGACCCAGCCGGGGGCCGGCGUGGUGCUGGCACUGUCUGGGCCAGAGCCUGGGGAUCUGGCACCUGCCGAGCUGGAGAUGCUGUCCCGGAGCCUGAUGGGGACACUGUCGAAGCUGGCACGGGAGCGUGACCUGGGGGCCCAGCGGCUGGCUGAACUGCUGCUGGAGCGAGAACCCCUCUGCUUGGGGCCUCAGGCUCCCUCUAGGGCUCCCGCCGAGGGCCCCUCGCACCAUCUGGCCCUGCAGCUGGCCAACGCCAAGGCUCAGCUGCGGCGUCUGCGGCAGGAGCUGGAGGAGAAGGCCGAGCUGCUGCUAGACUCCCAGGCCGAGGUGCAGGGUUUGGAGGCCGAAAUAAGAAGGCUCCGCCAGGAGGCCCAGGCGCUGUCGGGACAGGCCAAGCGGGCCGAGCUGUACCGCGAGGAGGCAGAGGCGCUGCGGGAGCGGGCCGGCCGCCUGCCCCGCCUGCAGGAGGAGCUGAGGCGCUGCCGCGAGCGGCUGCAGGCGGCUGAGGCCUACAAGAGUCAGCUGGAGGAGGAGCGGGUGCUCUCAGGGGUGCUGGAGGCCUCCAAGGCGCUGCUGGAAGAGCAGCUGGAGGCUGCCCGAGAGCGCUGCGCCCGGCUGCACGAGACCCAGCGCGAGAACCUGCUGCUGCGAACCCGGCUGGGCGAGGCCCAUGCGGAGCUGGACUCUCUGCGGCAUCAGGUGGACCAGCUGGCUGAGGAGAAUGUGGAGCUGGAGCUGGAGCUUCAGCGGAGCUUGGAGCCACCUCCAGGAUCCCCUGGGGAGGCACCCCUAGCAGGAGCGGCCCCCUCGCUGCAAGAUGAGGUGAGGGAGGCAGAGGCUGGGCGGCUUCGGACCCUUGAGAGGGAGAACCGGGAGCUUCGGGGGCUGCUUCAGGUGCUUCAGGGGCAGCCAGGGGGCCAGCACCCCCUGCUGGAGGCACCGAGAGAGGACCCUGUUCUUCCAGUGCUGGAGGAGGCUCCCCAGACUCCUGUGGCCUCCGACCACAGCCCUCAGGGCUUGGUUCAGAAGGCAAGGGAUGGAGGCCCCCAGGCCUUGGACUUGGCUCCCCUGGCAUUAGACUCAGUGCUCGAGGCAUCAGCUGAGUGUCCCCAGGCACCUGAUUCAGACCCACAGGAGGCAGAGAGUCCCCUUCAGGCAGCUGCCAUGGACCCCCAGGCCUCAGACUGGUCCCCGCAAGAGUCAGGCUCUCCUGUGGAGACACAGGAGUCCCCGGAGAAGGCUGGCCGUAGAUCCUCUCUCCAGAGCCCUGCCUCUGUGGCCCCACCUCAGGGUCCAGGGACCAAAAUUCAGGCCCCGCAGUUGCUGGGAGGAGAGACAGAGGGAAGAGAGGCUCCCCAAGGCGAGUUGGUGCCUGAGGCCCGGGGAUUGAGACAGGAGGGCCCUGAGCACAAGCCAGGGCCUUCGGAGCCCAGCUCUGUGCAGCUGGAGGAGCAGGAGGGCCCAAACCAGGGCCUGGACCUGGCCACGGGACAAGCAGAGGCCAGAGAGCAUGACCAGAGGCUGGAAGGGACGGUCAGGGUCCCAGCCUGGCAAAAACCACAGCAGAAGUCAGAAGGGGCUCUUGAGGUCCAGGUCUGGGAAGGCCCAAUCCCAGGGGAGAGCCUGGCCAGUGGUGUCGCAGAGCAGGAGGCCCUCAGGGAGGAGGUGGCACAGUUGAGGAGAAAGGCUGAGGCCCUUGGAGAUGAGCUGGAAGCCCAGGCCCGCAAGCUGGAGGCCCAAAACACGGAGGCUGCCCGCCUCUCCAAGGAGCUGGCCCAAGCGCGAAGGGCAGAGGCCGAGGCCCACCGGGAGGCAGAGGCCAAGGCCUGGGAGCAAGCCCGGCUGCGGGAGGCAGUGGAGGCUGCUGGCCGGGAGCUGGAGUCUGCGUCCCAGGAACGGGAGGCGCUGGUGGAGGCGCUGGCAGCAGCGGGCCGGGAGCGGAGGCAGUGGGAGCGUGAGGGGUCCAGGCUGCGGGCCCAGUCGGAGGCCGCCGAGGAACGGAUGCAGGUGCUGGAGAGCGAGGGCCGCCAGCACUUGGAGGAGGCUGAGAGGGAGCGCCGGGAGAAGGAGGCCCUCCAGGCGGAGCUGGAGAAAGCUGUGGUGCGGGGCAAGGAGUUGGGGGCCCGGCUGGAGCAUUUGCAGCGUGAGCUGGAGCAGGCGGCUCUUGAGCGCCAGGAAUUUCUGCGAGAAAAGGAAAGCCAGCACCAGAGGUACCAGGGCUUGGAGCAGCGGCUGGAAGCUGAGCUGCAGGCGGCGGCGACCAGCAAGGAGGAGGCGCUGAUGGAGCUCAAGACCAGGGCCCUGCAGCUGGAAGAGGAGCUGUUCCAGCUGCGCCAGGGCCCCGCGGGGCUGGGGCCCAAAAAGCGUGCGGAGCCUCAGCUGGUGGAGACCCAGAAUGUGCGGCUUAUUGAGGUGGAGCGCAGUGUGAGUGUGGGCCCACAGUGGGCCCUGGGGAGGUGCCCCGUGCAGUGUGAGUGUGGGUCCACGGUGGACCCUGGGCUGGGGGGUAUCCCGUGCAGUGUGAGUGUGGACUCACAGUGGGCCCUGGGCGGAGGGGUGCCCCAUGCAGUGUGAGUCCUGGAGAGGUGCCCCGUGCAGUGUGAGUGUGGGUCCACAGUGGGCCCGGGGGUGGGGGUGCCCCAUGCAGUGUGAGUGUGGGCCUGUGGUAGGCACUGGGGGGUGCCCCCGCCACCUGGCUAUUGCUAACCCCCACUUCUGGGCAGAAUGCGAUGCUGGUGGCAGAGAAGGCAGCUUUGCAGGGGCAGCUGCAGCACCUGGAGGGGCAGCUGGGGAGCCUGCAGGGCCGUGCCCAAGAGCUGCUGCUGCAGAGCCAGCGGGCGCAGGAGCACAGCAGCCGCCUGCAGGCCGAGAAGUCUGUGCUGGAGAUUCAGGGCCAGGAGCUGCACCGGAAGCUGGAGGUGCUGGAGGAGGAGGUUCGGGCGGCACGGCAGUCCCAGGAGGAGACCCGCGGGCAGCAGCAGGCCCUGCUUCGGGACCACGAGGCCCUGGCACAGCUGCAGCGGCGGCAGGAGGCCGAGCUAGAGGGACUGCUGGUGCGGCACCGAGACCUCAAGGCCAACAUGCGGGCACUGGAGCUGGCCCACCGGGAGCUGCAGGGCCGGCACGAGCAGCUGCAGGCCCAGCGGGCCAGCGUGGAGGCACAGGAGGUGGCCCUGCUGGCAGAGCGUGAACGCCUGAUGCAAGAUGGGCAUCGGCAGCGGGGCCUGGAGGAGGAGCUGCGGAGGCUUCAGAGCGAGCACGACAGGGCUCAGAUGCUGCUGGCAGAGGUGUCUCGGGAGCGGGGUGAGCUGCAGGGUGAACGCGGGGAGCUACGGGGCCGGCUGGCGCGGCUGGAGCUGGAGCGGGCACAGCUGGAGAUGCAGAGCCAGCAGCUGCGCGAGUCCAACCAGCAGCUGGACCUGAGUGCCUGCCGGCUGACCACGCAGUGUGAGGUGUGGCUGGAGGGCCGGUGGGGGUAUGGGUGUGUGGUGGGGCAGAAAGCCUAGACCCAGGUGGUCCUGAGCUGGGUCCCACCCUCCGAGCCAUGCUGCCCCCCUGCCAGCUAUUGACACAGCUGCGAAGUGCCCAGGAAGAGGAGAACCGGCAGCUGCUGGCUGAAGUUCAGGCCCUGAGCCGGGAGAACAGGGAGCUCCUGGAGCGCAGCCUGGAGAGUCGGGACCACCUGCACCGCGAACAGCGGGAGUACCUGGACCAGCUUAAUGCCCUGCGCCGCGAGAAGCAGAAGCUCGUGGAGAAGAUCAUGGACCAAUACCGCGUGCUGGAGCCUGUGCCCCUGCCCCGGACCAAGAAGGGCAGCUGGCUGGCAGACAAGGUGAAGAGGCUGAUGCGGCCCCGGCGGGAGGGGGGCCCCCCUGGGGGGCUGCGCCUGGGGGCCGAUGGGGCUGGCAGCACCGAGAGCCUGGGGGGCCCCCCGGAGACGGAGCUUCCUGAGGGCAGGGAGGCAGAUGGGACAGGGUCCCCUUCCCCGGCACCCAUGCGCCGGGCCCAGAGCUCCCUCUGCCUGCGGGAUGAGACCUUGGCAGGCGGGCAGCGGCGGAAACUCAGCUCAAGGUUCCCGGUGGGGCGAAGCUCUGAGUCAUUCAGCCCUGGGGACACCCCUAGGCAACGAUUCCGACAGCGCCAUCCAGGCCCCCUGGGGGCGCCCGUCUCCCACAGCAAAGGACCUGGUGUGGGAUGGGAGAACUCCGCUGAGACCCUGCAGGAACACGAAACAGAUGCCAACCGAGAGGGCCCCGAGGCACAGGAACCGGAGAAACAUCCCCUCACCCCAUCCCUCAGCCAGUGACACCGUGGGAACAGCAGGCUUGGGAGUGCAGCCUUCUCGGCACUGGAGUGUCAGCGGAGGCCCCAGGCAGCCCAAGAGCUCAGGGAGCCAGGGACCCCAAGGGGAGUCCUUGGACAAGGAGGCCUGGGCCCUGAGAUCCUCCACGGUCAGCGCCGGGGCCCGGAGAUGGAGCUGGGACGAGUGUGUGGACAGGGGGGAUGGCUGGCCCCCACGAGCAGCUCCAGGCCGGAGUUCUGGUUCUUCCAGGUGGCUCCCGCUGAGGCAGCGGUCUCUGGGGGAUCCCCCAGCUGAAGGAGGCUGGCAGGAGUCGGCAAGAGAACCCCGUGCCCUGUCCAGGUGGGGAGCUGAGUCCCAGUGCUGGGGGACUGUGGCCUGGGCUGAUCUUGAGCCUUAACUGGACAUGAGGGGCAUGAGAAUAAAGCUGAACUGC